ACAAAAACAUUGCUCUUUGAAUAAAUAUAAAGAGUAUUUCCUGCCCAGUGAUUAUUAUUAAACGGCCGCGGUAUCCUAACCGUGCAAAGGUAGCAUAAUCACUUGCUCAUUAAUUGUGGGCUAGAAUGAAUGGACUAACGAAAUUGAAUCUGUCUCUUUUUAUUAAAUAAAAAUUAAUUUUUAAGUGAAGAAGCUUGAAUAAGUUCGAAAGCCAAGAAGCCCUAUAGAGCUUUAUUUUUGAAAAUAUAUUUUAUUUUUAUUAAUUUGGUUGGGGCCCCUAGGGUAUUAUCCCCCUAUAUGCAAAGAUAUUUUAUCUCAUAAAUCAUCCUAAAAUAGAUCAUAAGAAUAAGCUACCUUAGGGAUCACAGGCUAAUCCUAUUUGAAAGUUCUUAUUAAAAAUAGGGUUUGGCACCUCGAUGUUGGCUUAGGGAUUCUUAAUGGCGCAAAAGUCAUAAAGA
rnacentral:rRNA from 1 species